AAGUAACACGAUAUCAGCAGUUUUUGUUUACAAAGAAAGGAAAUUUGACGAUUCGAUUUCUCAUCCAUGACCGCUGAAAAGUAACCUUUGAAGUUAACUUUCUUCAACGAUUUUUGGUUACUUGGUAGUUGGUACAGACAAAAUGGAGUUCUGGAGGCAAUUUGAUGGGGGCUGUUUGUUUCCCAAGGGAAAAGAAAUACCAUCAUACACAAAAAUUCUACAGAGAUUGUAAAGAGAUACUUUGCUAAAUGAAUACCUGCAGGUAGGCAUUUAAAGAACGCUUUGGUGUUGAUUGAUCAAGAGCUUUAAGAAGUUUUUCAAUUGGUUGAUUAGGCAUUUCUAACCUCUUUUGAAUGAAAUAAGCAAUUGCAUAACACAAAGCAGUGCACCCUCUCUGAAUAAUAAAAUAUUGCAAAUCUGCUUUGUGCUUUAGUAGAGUAGAAAUGCAUGCCUCUUGGUGUCUUGAGCAGGCCAUCAUUAAUGCUGUAACUCCUUUGCAAGUAACAGUAUUCAAAUUUACUCUUGAUGUCGAAGCAACAAGUUCUAGGGCCGUGUCCCAUUGCCUCUUGACCAUGUAAUGGAUGACAGUGUUACCUAGCUGAAAAAAAAAUCGAGGAUGUGAAAAUUUAACUGAAGAGAUUGAAAACCAGAAGAAUGAAUGCCUGUUGUAUUAUUUACUUUAUUUGCAUGGUUGACAUUGAUUUCUGUGUCUUUGAUUUUCAACCAGAAAUCCAUGAAGGUAUCUUGAUCCCAUGAUGAAGUUUGCAGGGCCAGUAGAAAAGCAUUGUUCCCUUCCCCAUCAGUCAUGUUAACGUUGGCUCCUCUUCGGAUCAGAAAAUCGGCCAUGUCAACCAGUUUCAGUUUUACUGCCCACAGCAUCGGACUUGUUCCAUCCUGCAAAUGUCACAUAUCAACAUCAAGUCAAUAUGAAGCGAUCAAUUUCAUUUACCUCUGCGCAUUUUUCCAAUGAAUAUCCUUCUCUCAAUAAUUUUUUGACGAUGUGAAACCUUCCGAGAACGACAGCUCCCAGAAACACAUUGGAAUCGUCCUGUUUGAGAACAAUUCAAAAUCAAAUUAAUUAAUAAAACAAUGUAAUCAUGUAAA